UCAAACUUCUAACUUACUAGUUAAGUUGUUGACAAUAAAUGACCCAUUAGUGGCAUGUCGAAUCCGUCUUUGAAGUGUUAGUUAACAAGUGAAAUGGUUUUUUGUUACACUUUUAUAUUGUUACGGUGCUGUCUACAUUCGCGAUUAGAGUUAGCAUUAGAGUUAGCUGAUAAACACUUUUUUGAUGAGUUAUUUUUCAAUGUGACUGUCAUUUUGUGUCAUAAAUUCACUCAAACUAUAAUUAUCAUACAUGUGUUUCCUUGAUUUUGUGUCCCAUGUCCAUAGAAUAUAAAUUAGGUGGUCUAAUAAUAUUAUAACAAGUGAAUUAGUGAUAUCAUGUGACGGUUUGAUCAACACAUUCAAAAACUUCUAAUCUUUGACAACCUAAAUGUGUUACAACAAUCUUAUCAAUAAUAAUUAGGGUUUUUAUCACAAAUCGUCCCUAAGAUUGAUCAAACUCAUCAUUUUAAUCCCUCACUUUCAAAAUCAAUCAAUGUCGUCCUUGACAUUCACUACCCCAUAUCAAUUUGGUCAUUCCAUUAAGAUUCCGUCAACUAUUCUGUUAGUUUGUAUGUGGGACACACAAAUCUAAUGAAAUGGUGACACGUGGAUUACACAAAAUAAGAGUUUUUAUCGCAAAUGGUCCCUGAUAUUGAUCAAACUCUUUAUUUUGGUCUCUGAGUUUCAACAAUCGAUAAAUUUGGUCCCUGACUUUCACUACCGCACAUCAAUUUAAUCAUAUUUUGUUAAAGUUUCGUCGAUAUUUUUUGUUUGUGUGUUGAUGUGGUCCCACUAAUCCAAUCAUAUGGCUCCAUACGGAUGAACUAUAAGAAACAAUUUUUUUUUAAAGUGAACCAACAUGCCAGUAUUCCGUGCUGACAUUUUUCUCGCAUCCGACAACCCCAAUUGGAAAAAAAAAAUCAAUCUAAAUUGGAUAAAAUCAAAUCCAAAUUCAAUUCAAACUUGAUAAGAUUAUAACCAACUAGAAAGAAUGAUGAGUAGUUUAGGAUGUCAAGUAGUUUAAUGGUGUCAUGUUGCCUUCCUUUUCUUUUUUAGCAUACGCUGAUGAAGACGACGAUGACUUUUUUUUCUUUUAAUUUUGGUUUUUAGUUUCUUAUUUUACUUUUUUUUUAAGAGUGAACCAACGGACGAGUAUUAUGUGUUGACAUUUUUCUCGCAUCCCAUAACCCCAAUUGGAAAAAAAAAAAUCAAUCUAAAUUGGCUAAAUUCGAAUCCAAAUUCAAUUCAAACUUGAUAAGAUUAUAACCAACUAAAGAGAAUGAGGAGUAGUUCAGGAGGCCAAGUAGUUUAAUGGUGUCAUGGUGCCUUCGUUUUCUUUUUGAGCAUACUCUGAUGAAGACGAUGAUGGCUAUUUUUUCUUUUAGUUUUGGUUUUUAGUUUCUUAUUUUACUUUUAGUUUUAAAUUAAAAAAAAAGUUUCUUAUAGUUAAUUCACAUGGCGCCAUAUGAUUUGAUUAGUGAGGCAAAAAAUAUCAAUGAAAUUUUAACAGAAGGACUAAAUUGAUGUGUGAUAUUGAAAGCCAGAGACCAAAUUUAUUGAUUUUUGAAACUAAGGGAUCAAAAUAAGGAGUUGAAUCAAUAUCAGGGACCAUUUGCGGUAAAAGCCCUAUUUUGUGUAAUCCAAGUGUCACAAUUUCAUUGGAUUUAUGGGCCCCACAUACAAACUAACAGAAUAGUUGACGGAAUCUUAACGGAAUGACUAAAUUGAUGUGGGGUAGUGAAUGUUAGGGACAACAUUGAUUGAUUUUGAAAGUAAGGGAUUAAAAUGAUGAGUUUGAUCAAUCUCAAGAACUAUUUGUGAUAAAAACCUUAAUAAUUAUGUUAUCCCUUAAGCGUGUAGACUCCAACUCUAUAUAUACAAUCUCUGUAGAAAAUUGUAACUCGCAAAUGUGAUACAUGUAGAAACUAAGUUUCAAUUACCAUCAAACCCAUGAAGCUUAAGUUAAAAAAGUACGAAUGAUUAUUGAUUAAGUCAAAUAUGAUUUAGUCUUGGAUCACCCAAGUCAAAGGUCAUGGUUACCCAUGGUGCACAUUAAUUUGGCGCCACGUUGUGCACCUAUCAAAGUUUAAUUUAAUAAAAAACUAUUAAUUAAUAUUUUUAUUGAUAGAAAAACUAUUAAUUAAUAUGAGAAUUUUAUACUACUGCUGAAUGAUGAUUGACGGAGACAGACAUAAAAUUAUAGUUAUAAUUAUAAUUUUGGUAAAGAGAGAAUUUUCCUGCAGAUUGAAGUCAUGGUUUUUGAACAAAAUAUUGCCUAAAACCCUCCGUAACGGGGUGUUCUUUGCCGACGGUUUAUAUCCCACUUAAAACAUGGAAUUAGCAAUUUUGGUGUCAAAAGUCUUCCUUCCAAGCUAUAUAUGUAGAAUGACUAAAAUGCCAUUACUUUUGACUGCUCGAAUUUUUUUUCGAAAGCCUAUUUGAAAAAUAAAACAAGACAAUAAAACAAAAACAAUAUGUCACUCAAUUCGGACUUAUUCGAAUUUUCUUCGAAAGCUUAUUUGAAAAAUAAAACAAGACAAUAUUGAAUUAUUAAUUUAGAAUUAUUCCUCUCCAUAAAGAAAAAAAAGAUUAAUUUGUUAUAAAUAAACAAAAACUGAGAGAGCGUGUCUUUUCUUAGAGAGAUUUAAGUAAAAAAGGAGUAAUAUGUCUCUCAAUUUGUUUAUGUCCUCGUUAUCCUUAAGGAAAUAGUGAGAUAGUAUAAAUGUCGGAGGAAAACCAAGUUGAAAGCUUAUUCAUACCUACGUGGGUCAUCUAUAUAUACGACACAUUUUUUUAUUGGGCUAAUAUUCUUUUACAAUUUUCAAGUUUGGAGUUUUUUAAUAUAUUUUUUUAAAUUAGUCAUGAGAUUUUAGUUUUGUUACGUUGCACAAUAAAGUUUGAAAUCGCAAGUUUUUGGGCUAUUUUUGUUGAUAUUUAGUUAACAAAAUCGUCAACAUGUCAAAACUAAAUGUGUUGGAAAGAUAAGGCUAAAACAUAAAUGGUAUUUUUU
rnacentral:lncRNA from 1 species